CUCCUCCUCCGUCUCCGAUCUUUUCAUCCUAUUCUACUGUCCAUCGGUGAUUCUUCUUUAUUUUGGACGUCAAAAAUCAGAUCAAAAUCCGUCAAAAAGUCAAGUAAAUCUCUUCAAUCCUCCUCUUUCAAUCUGCUAUGAAUAAUUAAUAUUUAAAAUAUAUUAAUUUUUAAUAAAUUUUUUUUUAUUUGCCUCAGGCCUAAAAAAUAUCAGGAUCGGUCCUGGCCACCACUCAAGGU
rnacentral:lncRNA from 1 species